AAAGCAGCCGCAGCUCCAUCCCCAUGGACGCAGAACACGUGGAGCUGGUGAAGAGGACGAUGGCCAGCGUGAAGCUUCCCAGCCUGGGCAUCCCCGCCUGGGCCAGCCAGAUCUCGGAGGACCAGUGGAAGGACGUGGUGCAGCGCACGCUGCAAGCCCGUCAGAGCCUCGGUGGCCCCAGGCCCGAGUGGAAGUGAGGGCCAAGCUGCGGCGUGGGGGCUGCUAACCCCAGCCCUCCCUCCGCCGCGCAGGCGAGGCAAGCGCCCGCUGCCUCGGAGCCGGGUGGUGACGGGACUUGCCGGCACUGACCUUCCAGUUUCUCCCACCGACAUUGUCCGACUUCCCUUCCUGCUCCUCUUUCCUGGUUCUGGCUGGUGCGUAAGUCACUGUGAUGUCCUUGUGUUGGCUUCCUCUGCCUCCGAGGAGCCCGACCGGUUUCCAUACCUGUGUGCGUGUGGAGGGAGGGGGCUUGGCCGGCUUUGCCCAGAUUCCCUUGGGACGAACACUGGAUUUGUCCCUGUGCUGUCAGUGCUGGAGAAGUUCCUCUCCACACUAGGGCCCCUCCUCCCAGGACAGGGGCUGUGUGUUGGAACAUCAGAGGUGGAGUCCAACGUGUCUUUCCAAGAGAUCGGUUUUAUUUAGUUCUGUACAUACAGGGACAUCUGUACAAAAUCCAACACUUUCAACUAUGUAAUGCUCUACUGAAAAUAAAGUACACCAUAUGUACAUAUGAA